rnacentral:rRNA from 1 species
AUUCCAGCUCCAAUAGCGUAUAUUAAAGUUGUUGCAGUUAAAAAGCUCGUAGUUGGAUUUCUGUUUCUGGGAUCUGGUCCGCCUCACGGUGAGCACUGGAUAACUGGGGACAUCCUCUCGAAGGCGGCGGGUGCACUUGAUUGUGUGUUUGUUGAAUUCGGGACCUUUACUUUGAAAAAAUUAGAGUGUUCAAAGCAGGCGUCGGCUUGAAUACAUUAGCAUGGAAUAAUGGAAUAGGACUUUGGUUCUAUUUUGUUGGUUUCUAGGACCGAAGUAAUGAUUAAUAGGGACAGUUGGGGGCAUUAGUAUUUAAUUGUCAGGGGUGAAAUUCUUGGAUUUAUGAAAGACUAACUACUGCGAAAGCACUUGCCAAGGAUGUUUUUAUUA